rnacentral:piRNA from 1 species
UUUUGUACAUGGCAGGAAAGUU